rnacentral:rRNA from 1 species
UACGUAGGGGGCGAGCGUUGUCCGGAAUGAUUGGGCGUAAAGGGCGCGUAGGCGGCCUGCUAAGUCUGAAGUGAAAGUCCUGCUUUCAAGGUGGGAAGUGCUUUGGAUACUGGUGGGCUGGAGUGCAGGAGAGGAAAGCGGAAUUACCGGUGUAGCGGUGAAAUGCGUAGAGAUCGGUAGGAACACCAGUGGCGAAGGCGGCUUUCUGGACUGAAACUGACGCUGAGGCGCGAAAGCGUGGGGAGCAAACAGGAUUAGAUACCCUGGUAGUCCACGCGGUAAACGAUGAAUGCUAGGUGUAGAAGGUAUCGACCCCUUCUGUGCCGCAGUAAACACAAUAAGCAUUCCGCCUGGGGAGUACGGCCGCAAGGUUGAA